rnacentral:rRNA from 1 species
UACGUAGGGUGCAAGCGUUAAUCGGAAUUACUGGGCGUAAAGCGUGCGCAGGCGGUUUUGUAAGUCUGUCGUGAAAGCCCCGGGCUCAACCUGGGAACUGCAUUUGUGACUGCAUGGCUAGAGUUUGUCAGAGGGGGGUGGAAUUCCACGUGUAGCAGUGAAAUGCGUAGAUAUGUGGAGGAACACCGAUGGCGAAGGCAGCCCCCUGGGAUGUGACUGACGCUCAUGUACGAAAGCGUGGGGAGCAAACAGG